rnacentral:lncRNA from 10 species
GUGAGAGCUCAAGAUUGAAGAGUCCAGGAAGACUGCAUCCAAGAUGCAUAACUGCUGAUCUUGAGGGUGGAUGCCAUCGAGCAGUAUUUUUCAGAGGUGUGUGGACCACUUGUUCUUCAAGAUAAUCUAGAUAAAGCAGGCCUAUGGUCAAAGUCUGGAGCAGUACAAAACCCAGUCAGAGGAUGUCUCUAUCAUUCCCACGCAGGUAAUUACAGGCUUAAUGAACAAAUGAAAAGGGGAAAGAGGCUAGAGCAUGAAGAGGGGCAAAAAGGAAGGACUGGCUAAAAGGAAGAGAAAAAUGAGAGUUGAGAAAGAAGGUCUUCUCUUCUCCAUCUGGGCUACGUGUAUCUAAGAAAUUACUUCUCCACUACCACUGCCUGCUGGAAUUCAGUGAAGGACUUAGCUACUUAGAAAAAUCCUUGUGGUUCAGUGAAAGCAUCAAUCUACUUGUAUUUUCAAACUUUUAUGUCUAUUUUUAAAAACUUCAUCAUCCCAGAAAUUCUCAAAGUUUUAUAUACAUAAAUAUAUAUGAAGGAAUGACUCUGAUUUUAUAAGCAUACUUAGAAACAAAGAAGUAGCUAUUAGUACUUUCCAUAGAAGCCUAAUAAUAUAGUAUUCCAAAAACAUCAGAUUACCUUAUCCUGGAUCUUUGAGAACUAAUCGAGGCUUCUUUUAUCACAGAGUCUAAAUGUUACAUUUAAUGUGAGAAUUUUUCACUUUUUAGAGCUUUUUUUCUUCCAAUCAAAUGCAGGUUUUUAUUUGUUUGUUGUUGGCUUAGUGAGCAUCCUCCUUUUUCCCUACCCCAAAACAAUCUAACAAACUGCUCUGUUUUUAAACAAGUCUAACAAGGGUGGUCUGGUCACAGGCAUAAAAAUUAAAACUUUGUAUACUAUUUGACAUUGGACCAAAUUUCAGUUCUAUGAAUCUAUAAAAAAAGUCAAUCAGGUAUGUAAACUGCAUGCAUGGGGUGUUCAUGGAUGUGUUUACAAUGAAAAAUGAAGAUAGACUAUGGUAGAGUUGAUGAGUG